UACGUAGGGUGCAAGCGUUUGUCCGGAAUUAUUGGGCGUAAAGGAGCUUGUAGGCGGUUUGUCGCGUCUGCUGUGAAAUUUCGGGGCUCAACCCCGAACUUGCAGUGGGUACGGGCAGACUAGAGUGUGGUAGGGGAGACUGGAAUUCCUGGUGUAGCGGUGAAAUGCGCAGAUAUCAGGAGGAACACCGGUGGCGAAGGCGGCAUCCUGGACCAACACUGACGCUGAGUGAGCGAAAGCCAGGGGAGCAAACGGG
rnacentral:rRNA from 1 species